rnacentral:lncRNA from 1 species
GGCAGACUGGGAUAAAGCACAGACCCAUGCUGCCAGGCACCCAGUGAAACAGUGCAUUUUCCCAAAGACAGCAUGACUCCUGAGGUGGAAGCAUUACUGCCCAGUUUCAGAGGGAAGCUGUGAGGGGUGUCUGGGCUUGAGACUCAGUUUAGUAGAAUUGCUCAUACUUUUUACUUGGGCUGUGCAGAGGAAAGACAUCUAUAAAAAAUUGCACUCAUUUGGAGAACCUGACUGUGGUCAUUUUGAAGCCAAGGCUUGCUUAGAAAGUGUGGAAAUUAAUAAAG